GAUGAACGCUGGCGGCGUGCCUAAUACAUGCAAGUCGAGCGAACGGACGAGAAGCUUGCUUCUCUGAUGUUAGCGGCGGACGGGUGAGUAACACGUGGAUAACCUACCUAUAAGACUGGGAUAACUUCGGGAAACCGGAGCUAAUACCGGAUAAUAUUUUGAACCGCAUGGUUCAAAAGUAAAAGACGGUCUUGCUGUCACUUAUAGAUGGAUCCGCGCUGCAUUAGCUAGUUGGUAAGGUAACGGCUUACCAAGGCAACGAUGCAUAGCCGACCUGAGAGGGUGAUCGGCCACACUGGAACUGAGACACGGUCCAGACUCCUACGGGAGGCAGCAGUAGGGAAUCUUCCGCAAUGGGCGAAAGCCUGACGGAGCAACGCCGCGUGAGUGAUGAAGGUCUUCGGAUCGUAAAACUCUGUUAUUAGGGAAGAAUAUAUGUGUAAGUAACUGUGCACAUCUUGACGGUACCUAAUCAGAAAGCCACGGCUAACUACGUGCCAGCAGCCGCGGUAAUACGUAGGUGGCAAGCGUUAUCCGGAAUUAUUGGGCGUAAAGCGCGCGUAGGCGGUUUUUUAAGUCUGAUGUGAAAGCCCACGGCUCAACCGUGGAGGGUCAUUGGAAACUGGAAAACUUGAGUGCAGAAGAGGAAAGUGGAAUCCCAUGUGUAGCGGUGAAAUGCGCAGAGAUAUGGAGGAACACCAGUGGCGAAGGCGACUUUCUGGUCUGUAACUGACGCUGAUGUGCGAAAGCGUGGGGAUCAAACAGGAUUAGAUACCCUGGUAGUCCACGCCGUAAACGAUGAGUGCUAAGUGUUAGGGGGUUUCCGCCCCUUAGUGCUGCAGCUAACGCAUUAAGCACUCCGCCUGGGGAGUACGACCGCAAGGUUGAAACUCAAAGGAAUUGACGGGGACCCGCACAAGCGGUGGAGCAUGUGGUUUAAUUCGAAGCAACGCGAAGAACCUUACCAAAUCUUGACAUCCUUUGACAACUCUAGAGAUAGAGCCUUCCCCUUCGGGGGACAAAGUGACAGGUGGUGCAUGGUUGUCGUCAGCUCGUGUCGUGAGAUGUUGGGUUAAGUCCCGCAACGAGCGCAACCCUUAAGCUUAGUUGCCAUCAUUAAGUUGGGCACUCUAAGUUGACUGCCGGUGACAAACCGGAGGAAGGUGGGGAUGACGUCAAAUCAUCAUGCCCCUUAUGAUUUGGGCUACACACGUGCUACAAUGGACAAUACAAAGGGCAGCGAAACCGCGAGGUCAAGCAAAUCCCAUAAAGUUGUUCUCAGUUCGGAUUGUAGUCUGCAACUCGACUACAUGAAGCUGGAAUCGCUAGUAAUCGUAGAUCAGCAUGCUACGGUGAAUACGUUCCCGGGUCU
rnacentral:rRNA from 1 species